CAGCGCCACGAGUGGGAACUACAAUUAUUUGGCCUAAAGCGUCCGUAGCCGGUUUAGUAAAUUUCUUGUGAAAUUGUUGAGCUUAACUUAACAACGUGCAGGAAAGACUGCUAAACUUGGGACUGGGAGGAGUUAGAAGUAUUUUUGGGGUAGCGGUAAAAUGUUAUAAUCCCAAAGAGACUACCUAUGGCGAAAGCAUCUAACUAGAACAGGUCCGACGGUGAGGGACGAAAGCUAGGGGAGCAAAACGGAUUAGAGACCCGAGUAGUCC
rnacentral:rRNA from 1 species